rnacentral:lncRNA from 1 species
UGCUGACAUCACUCUCCCUGGUAAUAUUCUUUAUUCUGACAUUUACUUUGUCCAGUAUUAAAAAUGCAUGCUUGCUUCCUUGACUGGUUCUUGACAUGAUAUAUCCUUUGCAACCCUUUAACCUGUUUGUGUCUUUAUGUUUAAAGUGUUUCUUGUAGGCAGCAAAUAAUUGGGUCUUGCUAUUGUGUCUAACCUGCCAAUUUCUGUCUUUUAGUUGGAGUGAUUAGACCAUUUACAUUUAAUGUGAUUAUUGAUAUGGUUAGGUUUAUGUCUAUAAUCUGGAAAUUCUCAAGGCAAUAAGCUUGGGCAACUGAAAGGCUCAUCUCUUUUGUUUCCUUCCUCUCAGGGGUCACAGUCCUUUGAUGCUUGAUAUAAGUAUCUUGAAAUGAUUGUUUCAUAUAUUUUGUCCAAGUUUUUGGUUGUUUCAGGUGGGAGGGUCAAUCCAGUUCCUGUUACUCCAUCUUCAGCAGAAGUGGAGGUCUGGAAAUAUCUUUUAAUGAUUAGUUGGAGCAUCUUUAACCUAUAAUGUCUUCCUUCCUUUACCUAUCUUAUACAUAGUUUUGUGAAGGGUGAAGAUUGCCCUGAGUUCAGAACAAUUUAGGCAACAUAGAAUAGUGAUGCUGAUUCUUAUGAAUGUAAUUGUGUGGCUUGGGGACUGAUACAUUUUUCAAGAAACAUCUGAUAAAAUCCAGAUAGAAAUUUUAUGUGACUUUUCAGAUAUGACCACUUGCUCUGGGACUAGCCCACUGCCACGUCAGAAGGACAUCCAAGCAGCUCUAGUCAGGCAAGGAACGCAGGCUGCCUGCCAACAGCCAUGUGAGUGUGACAUUUGCAAGUGACUCCUCCAACCCCAGUCAAGCGUUCAGAGGACUGAAGCCCCAGCUGACUUCACUGCAACCUCCUGAGAGAUACUGAGCCAGAACCAUUCAGCCAAGCCAUUUCUGAAUUCCUAACCAACAGCAACUGUGAGAUAAAAUGUCUACUGUUUUAAGGUGCUAAGCUUUGGAGUAAUAUGUAACCCAGCAAUCGAUAAUGAAUACACCCAGGAAGAAUGAAGAUUUUUUUUUUUAAAAAAGCACAUCUAGAAAUUAAGAAGAAUUCUUACAAGCAUCAGACAGAAAGAACAAGCUUCUUACAAAAGAAACAAAAGUAGAUGAAUAUUUCUUUCUUAUCAGUGAUAGUGGAAGCUGGAAGUGAACAACUACAAUUUUUGGACAGGCAAAGAUUCCGUUUACCUAUGGCACCCUAUUUUCAAAAAUAAUGGAAGAAAUUCUCCAACCUUUUAAGAAUGGAAUAGAAUUUAACCACGACUACACCAAGAUUUUAGGAGUAAGAAAAAGAG